rnacentral:rRNA from 1 species
AACGAACGCUGGCGGCAGGCUUAACACAUGCAAGUCGAGCGCCCCGCAAGGGGAGCGGCAGACGGGUGAGUAACGCGCGGGAAUCUACCGAGCCCUAAGGAAUAGCUCCGGGAAACUGGAAUUAAUACCUUAUACGCCCUUUGGGGGAAAGAUUUAUCGGGGUUUGAUGAGCCCGCGUUGGAUUAGCUAGUUGGUGGGGUAAAGGCCUACCAAGGCGACGAUCCAUAGCUGGUCUGAGAGGAUGAUCAGCCACAUUGGGACUGAGACACGGCCCAAACUCCUACGGGAGGCAGCAGUGGGGAAUAUUGGACAAUGGGCGCAAGCCUGAUCCAGCCAUGCCGCGUGAGUGAUGAAGGCCUUAGGGUUGUAAAGCUCUUUCACCGGUGAAGAUAAUGACGGUAACCGGAGAAGAAGCCCCGGCUAACUUCGUGCCAGCCGCCGCGGUAAAAC